rnacentral:rRNA from 1 species
GAUGAACGCUAGCUACAGGCUUAACACAUGCAAGUCGAGGGGCAGCAUUAUCUUAGCUUGCUAAGAUAGAUGGCGACCGGCGCACGGGUGAGUAACACGUAUCCAACCUUCCGGUUACUCGGGGAUAGGCUUUCGAAAGAAAGAUUAAUACCCGAUGUUGCGUAUCUUUCUCCUGAAAGAUACGCCAAAGGAUUCCGGUAACCGAUGGGGAUGCGUUCCAUUAGGCAGUUGGCGGGGUAACGGCCCACCAAACCUUCGAUGGAUAGGGGUUCUGAGAGGAAGGUCCCCCACAUUGGAACUGAGACACGGUCCAAACUCCUACGGGAGGCAGCAGUGAGGAAUAUUGGUCAAUGGACGGAAGUCUGAACCAGCCAAGUAGCGUGAAGGAUGACUGCCCUCUGGGUUGUAAACUUCUUUUAUACGGGAAUAACAUGAGGUACGCGUACCUUAUUGCAUGUACCGUUAUGAAUAAGCAUCGGCUAACUCCGUGCCAGCAGCCGCGGUAAUACGGAGGAUGCGAGCGUUAUCCGGAUUUAUUGGGUUUAAAGGGAGCGUAGGUGGGAUAUUAAGUCAGCUGUGAAAGUUUGGGGCUCAACCUUAAAAUUGCAGUUGAUACUGGUUUUCUUGAGUACGGAACACGUGGACGGAAUUCGUGGCGUAGCGGUGAAACGC